rnacentral:rRNA from 1 species
UACGGGGGGGGCAAGCGUUGUUCGGAAUUACUGGGCGUAAAGGGCUCGUAGGCGGCCAACUAAGUCAUACGUGAAAUCCCUCGGCUUAACCGGGGAACUGCGUCUGAUACUGGAUGGCUUGAGAUUGGGAGAGGGAUGCGGAAUUCCAGGUGUAGCGGUGAAAUGCGUAGAUAUCUGGAGGAACAUCAGUUGCGAAGGCGGCUCUCUGGACCAGCACUGACACUGAGGCACGAAAGCGUGGGGAGCAAACAGG